rnacentral:lncRNA from 1 species
AAAAGAGCAGAGCUGGGAGACCAGGGAGGAUGUAGCUGCAGGAAUCCCAGGAAUGCAGGUGAGGGCUGGAGGCGGUUGCCCUGCAGGAGCCGAGUGACGAUGACCUGUGGAUGAGCAGCCUGGGAUGCCCCUGUCCCCAGCCUCUUCAACCUGACACAAGUUUGCAUUCUAUGCUCUCUUUCUUUGGAACAAGGAUUGACUCCUAAGUGGCAUCUGGAGAAGGCCGAGCUUCCUGCAGGGACCUGAAGAGGGUUUUUAGAAACAGAAACGGAGUCAUCAGAUUGCUCACAGUGGCCAAAUCUUGCCCUAAAGUCAAAGCUCUGAAGCACUGCACUAAAGAGCUCUUGGAACACCCGUGGAUUCCCAAGGAAAGGAAUGGAUAAAGUUAAGCCAUGAUGACCUUGUUGAAUCCAGCCAUUCUGCAAGUGCCUGUUUUGACUUUAGGGAUGGAAGUCCUUCCAGGCAUGCCAAGAGGGAAGGAAACAUGGCAGGUGCACUGGCUUUGAAGUUGCCGUGGUGGUUGCAAUCCUGCAUCUGUCUGUUCCUGAUGGGGUGACCUCAGG